UACGUAGGGGGCUAGCGUUGUCCGGAUUUAUUGGGCGUAAAGAGCGCGUAGGCGGCUAGGUAAGUCCGACGUGAAAUCUGGAGGCUCAACCUCCAGCGGUCGUUGGAAACUACUUGGCUAGAGUCCGGAAGAGGAGAGUGGAAUUCCUGGUGUAGCGGUGAAAUGCGCAGAUAUCAGGAAGAACACCGAUGGCGAAAGCAGCUCUCUGGGACGGUACUGACGCUGAGGCGCGAAAAGCGUGGGGAGCGAACAGG
rnacentral:rRNA from 1 species